UCGCCUGUAGCUCAGUGAUAGAGCAUCCGACCGGUAGUCUACCGUGUGCAGAAGGUCAUAGGUUCGACUCCUGUUGGGAGAU